AGUCGACGGUACAGGAAACAGCUUGCUGUUUCGCUGACGAGUGGCGGACGGGUGAGUAAUGUCUGGGAAACUGCCUGAUGGAGGGGGAUAACUACUGGAAACGGUAGCUAAUACCGCAUAACGUCGCAAGACCAAAGAGGGGGACCUUCGGGCCUCUUGCCAUCGGAUGUGCCCAGAUGGGAUUAGCUAGUAGGUGGGGUAACGGCUCACCUAGGCGACGAUCCCUAGCUGGUCUGAGAGGAUGACCAGCCACACUGGAACUGAGACACGGUCCAGACUCCUACGGGAGGCAGCAGUGGGGAAUAUUGCACAAUGGGCGCAAGCCUGAUGCAGCCAUGCCGCGUGUAUGAAGAAGGCCUUCGGGUUGUAAAGUACUUUCAGCGGGGAGGAAGGGAGUAAAGUUAAUACCUUUGCUCAUUGACGUUACCCGCAGAAGAAGCACCGGCUAACUCCGUGCCAGCAGCCGCGGUAAUACGGAGGGUGCAAGCGUUAAUCGGAAUUACUGGGCGUAAAGCGCACGCAGGCGGUUUGUUAAGUCAGAUGUGAAAUCCCCGGGCUCAACCUGGGAACUGCAUCUGAUACUGGCAAGCUUGAGUCUCGUAGAGGGGGGUAGAAUUCCAGGUGUAGCGGUGAAAUGCGUAGAGAUCUGGAGGAAAUACCGGUGGCGAAGGCGGCCCCCUGGACGAAGACUGACGCUCAGGUGU
rnacentral:rRNA from 1 species